ACGUAGGGGGCGAGCGUUGUCCGGAUUCAUUGGGCGUAAAGGGCGCGCAGGCGGCCCGGCAAGCGAGGCCUCUAAGCCCGGGGCUCAACCCCGGGACGGGCCCCGAACUUCCGGGCUCGAGCGCGGCAGGGGAGGACGGAAUUCCCGGUGUAGCGGUGGAAUGCGCAGAUAUCGGGAAGAACGCCGACGGCGAAGGCAGUCCUCUGGGCCGCGGCUGACGCUGAGGCGCGAAAGCCGGGGGAGCGAACAG
rnacentral:rRNA from 1 species